UUCACGUUUUGUGACUGAAGUGUAAACUAAAGAUUACACAAUAAUUGCAGACCUACACAACUAAUUUACAAACCUACACAACUCAUUCACAAACCUUUUUGUGUCAAUAGGCUGUGGUCAAAUAAAGAGAGAGUCAACAAAUAGGCUAUUAAUAUUUAGUGUAUGAUUUAUUUCCUGUGAGCUUUUUUAUGCAAGUUUGUACAUUAGCAUGAAACUUACAGUGCAGUUUGCGUUUUUGGUGAAUUACCAGGUGUUUUCUUUAUUUUGUACAUUCUAAAUUGUCAAUGUUUGUUUAAUUUAACCUGAAGGGGCAUUAAAAACAAAUAAUCGCAAAAGUGCCCUCUGGUGGCGUAUAUAUGCGUUGCACCAUAAGCGAAGAUGAGCCUCGUGAUGUGACAGUUUUUUUUUCAAACUGAGGUGAGGAGUUCGGCUCCGGACCGGCAUUUCUGCUUGUUUGUACCCUCCCUGAGAAAACCAUGGUUAAUAAAUUGUCAGACACGUCACUGGCUUUAAAAUAUAAACCCCAUUGAUGCAAAAAGAUGCUGCAUGGAAUGACAAUGUGGUUUGGAACAGACUUGGUGAAGAACAUGGAAACAUCUCUAAAUAAAAUGGCCCCAAACAUCAUCAGGAGUGCAAAAGAAGGAAGUAAAAAACAUCUCUACGCCAAUCUCAUUGGAGAGGAAACCACAGAAGGUCUGGUGAGGAAUGCUGCACUUAUGUUAUUGCAAGCAUUAUUUCAAGAAAAUCCCAGCUUCCUUUAUCAACUUUAUAAUGGACAAUGUGAACUAAAUAUGUGGAAGACAUUGACAUCACAGGCUGUGGAAUGACUGUGUCACAGGUCGGAGAAGCGGACCGCCCCUGUCGCGGAUCACGCUCCUCCUAGUUCCACCUCGAGGAGGUCCCAAAGCACCCCAAUGACCAGACAAACCAGAGAUAAGUAAAAUAUAGAAAUAGAAACUUUA